UGUGAGCUCUUAUCCCCCAUUGCCAUAACUUUGAUAUAAAAUCCCCAGCGAUUGACAUUCCUUCUGUCUCAACAACUACUCUCUCACAUUAUUCGGUAUGGAGGAUCAAACCCAAAAGAGGGCUUUCGACAUGGGAGCCUUGAGGAGCAGCCUUCCCCAAAACAGGAGAGGGUUGUCGAGGUAUUACUCGGGAAAAGCAAGAUCAUUCGCGUGCAUUGCAGAUGUUCGUUGCCUCGAGGAUCUCAAGAAACAAGAACAUCCCGAUGCGAAGAAAAGGAAGAAGUAUUCAAAUAAGAAGGAGAUGCAGCUUUACACUCCUUAUCCAUGUCGAAGAGUAUCCAGUUGCACUCAUUGCGCUGCACCUUGCAUUGGCGUGUAAAUAUAUCUGCUAUCCGAUUGUGUACAUGAGUUCACUUUACUUUAAUCAAAAACGAAGAGAGUUUUCAGUUU